GAAUUCGCCCUUAGAGUUUGAUCCUGGCUCAGGACGAACGCUGGCGGCGCGCCUAACACAUGCAAGUCGAACGAGCGAGAGGAGGUUUACUUUCUCAAGCGAGUGGCGAACGGGUGAGUAACGCGUGAGGAACCUGCCUCAAAGAGGGGGACAACAGUUGGAAACGACUGCUAAUACCGCAUAAGCCCACGACCCGGCAUCGGGUAGAGGGAAAAGGAGCAAUCCGCUUUGAGAUGGCCUCGCGUCCGAUUAGCUAGUUGGUGAGGUAACGGCUCACCAAGGCGACGAUCGGUAGCCGGACUGAGAGGUUGAACGGCCACAUUGGGACUGAGACACGGCCCAGACUCCUACGGGAGGCAGCAGUGGGGAAUAUUGCACAAUGGGGGAAACCCUGAUGUAGCGACGCCGCGUGGAGGAAGAAGGUCUUCGGAUUGUAAACUCCUGUUGUUGAGGAAGAUAAUGACGGUACUCAACAAGGAAGUGACGGCUAACUACGUGCCAGCAGCCGCGGUAAAACGUAGGUCACAAGCGUUGUCCGGAAUUACUGGGUGUAAAGGGAGCGCAGGCGGGAAGACAAGUUGGAAGUGAAAUCCAUGGGCUCAACCCAUGAACUGCUUUCAAAACUGUUUUUCUUGAGUAGUGCAGAGGUAGGCGGAAUUCCCGGUGUAGCGGUGGAAUGCGUAGAUAUCGGGAGGAACACCAGUGGCGAAGGCGGCCUACUGGGCACCAACUGACGCUGAGGUUCGAAAGUGUGGGUAGCAAACAGGAUUAGAUACCCUGGUAGUCCACACUGUAAACGAUGAUUACUAGGUGUUGGAGGAUUGACCCCUUCAGUGCCGCAGUUAACAC
rnacentral:rRNA from 1 species